rnacentral:rRNA from 1 species
UACGGAGGGUGCGAGCGUUGUUCGGAAUCACUGGGCGUAAAGCGCGUGUAGGCGGCCUCUUAAGUCUGAUGUGAAAGCCCGGGGCUUACCCCCGGAAGGGCAUUGGAAACUGGGAGGCUCGAGUACCGGAGAGGAAGGUGGAAUUCCUGGUGUAGCGGUGAAAUGCGUAGAUAUCAGGAGGAACACCGGUGGCGAAGGCGGCCUUCUGGACGGAUACUGACGCUGAGACGCGAAAGCGUGGGGAGCAAACAGG